CAGCUGCUUAAGCGAAGCAUUGCUGCCUGCUUCUGAACGUCACCUGACACUUCGAAAAAAAACUUCCUGCUGUUGUCUUUUCUCUUGGCGAGUGUGUGUGUGUUUCACGCACACGUCGGAUGCCUUGCCAGCGCCUACAAGGAUCAAGUGUCGUCUGAGACAGAAGGCAAAGAGAUGGUAACGCCACGGGUGAUGGCAGACCCCAGUGGUGGCUAAUAUGAAGGCAGCCGUUCGUCCUUCUGCUGACCCACAUCUUAUCUGGACGCCAUGCAGUAGCUGAGUAGUUGCCUGCCGGAUCAACAUGCUGAAGCAGAUUACUGAGCAGCAGACGUGAAGAGGCCUCUAGAACACCCACGUUCCUCUGCUUUUCAAAGCUUACAGCACAGUCUUGCUCUCUUUAUCACCUCAUGCAUUUGUUACUCUAUUAAUGUUUUUAUUGUUGUAAUGUUUAUUAAUUUUAGCUGACAGUACGCCUCUGCACUCGUCUGUCACUAAACUGCCUCAUGAUUACUGUAAAUGUGAAGUCAUGGGCCUGCUGUACUGGCUAAUCCUCAAUUAAAAAGGCUGAGUAUUUGGAUAAAAAAAACACCUACUGUAUACAAUACACAGUAUAUAUAUAUUAUAUAUAUUUAUGUAAUCUUCAGAGAAAUAAUCGUGUUUGUAUCAUGUCCUAUCACAUUGUCUCUGCAUGGGGAAGUAACUAUUAGUUUUAUUGAUUCAUCUCUCAAUUAUCUUUACAAAAUUAUGAAUCAAUGAAGUCAUAAAAAAAUAACAGAAAAAGCUUGUUA